GAUGGGCUGAUUAUUCCGAGCUUUUCAGUGGUUUCCCUUUAUUCACUUGGACGUUAAUGGUUCAGGAUUGUCAAGCCGCGGCCCAGCCCCCCUCACCCCAGAGCACCCAGCCUGUGAGCGCUCAGUGCAGGGCACCUCCCCGUGCUUGGCACACGCCUGCCCCGUGUCGGGGGGCUCAGCAAGAGGCGUGGGCACGGGGGGAGGGACAUUGCACAAGGAGCAGGAGGAGUGAAGCUCCAGCACAAAGAGGCUUGUACACCAGCCAACAUCUCGCCCAGCCUGGGGUCCCUGCGUCGCGGUUUCUCAUGGAAAUCAGAAGCAUCUUUUUGAUCCACAUCAAGCAUAGGGUUUAAGACAGGUAAAUGGAACCUUGCAUCAUUUCCAAUGCUCCCCGAAGGGAAUGCAGUAAAAACGCUGGUUUAGUUCUCUGCCUUUAAACCACCAUUUUCUCUAAAAUAUGGGAAUUAGGAGCAAUGCUGGGGGGAAAGGGACAGGGACACGGAGAGAGCCGAGAAAGUCCAGCCUAUCAAGGGGACUUUAGUACAUCCAUUCCUGUCUGCAAAGAGUUAAUCUGACAGAUGCUACCACCGAGCAUUUUGGGGUGCCAUUUUCACAUCCAUUAUUGUUCUGCCACCUUUUGCAUUGGAAAAUCUAACCCAACCCUGACAAUCAAGGCAAGUCUAGAAAUAAUGGGAUAUUUAAUGCCUAGCAGCUUCUCAAAACCCUAAGGAAUGCCCCGAUCUGCCUCUCUUAAAAAUACAUCAAAGGCCAUAAUCAAACUAGUUACUGAAUGCCCAGCUAGUGCCAUAGGCAAAGGAAGGCUUGCUUCAGAGCCAGACUCAGCCACUCCUGGAGUGCAGUAACAUCCGACUGAAUUCAGAUUUCACACUCCGCCAGGAAUCAAAAUGAAGGAAUACAAAGUCCUGCUAUGGCAGAGUGAGGGGCAAUGCCCAGACAGGGGAAGCGUAGAACAGCACUGAAUGCCCAGAAUGUUGAAUCUUAGCAAUCAUGGUGUGUAAGUAACUCUAACUCUGCCCUGAAGAAAGCCAUUCUCUCUCCCCACUCUGCUCUUCUGCUCACCUCCGCUCAUCACACACGCUGCUCGCGUGACAUGACUCGUGUAGGGUGGGCUCUUGUUCCUUCGUGCAUUUUGCUCCUGCCGAGUGCAAAGCUGGGCUUCAGUCCUGGCUUCCUUUUUGUUUAUCCCUUGCUUAACCUGAACAAUACGGCUGCAUAUUCACAUCUGCCGCAUCCCCGCAUGCUACGCUAGCUAAAGCUCCCUGCAACCAAUGUAUACACAAGCCAACAGGCAGCCCAAGACUGCAACCAGAAAGCACAGUUCAGUGGUGCCCAAAACGAACAUUUUGUUAACUGCCACCAGCACAUUGUCAUUUGUUCUCUCCACUCGAUUCCCAGGAACACACUCCACUUAUGGCCCAACAAAGGGAGUGUGCUAAAGCUCUCAGUUCACUGGCAACAGGGCAAUUACCUACCUUUAGAGAACCCAACCUCCAUCUUACGGCCCCAUGCCGGGAAACCCUGUGCUACAUUCUUACUGGCUUCCACUGUGUCUAUUCUAGCCGUGCAGGCAACCUUCCUACAGACUCCCGAGGACGGCCCCCAGGUCCUAUGGACGAUCCUCAGUGCAUGGUGUUCACCAAAUGCAUGCAUGCCGGGGCUUCCUGAGGAGAGCCAUUUUCAUACAGACGGCUAAUUGUUAGCUGGAAUAAUAAUAACUAGCUGACAGCUGUGUCCCAUCAGAGACUGUGCUGCAGUCAUCUCUGCCCAUUUCCAGAGGGUUUUAGCCAGGGCUCUUGUUGUUAUGUUCAUAUUGAUUUUGAACACAAAUCAUUAGCAAAGUCGGACUCUAAUGCUGUCAGCUGACUGUAUUUCAGCUAAAUACAAAGGUGGGGCAGGACCCCAGUCACAGGUAUCCUGGGGUGAAUCCAGAGUAACUCUAUUGAAGAUGAAGCCUCUCGUGUAACUGAGAUCAGAAUCCGACCCAAACUCUCUGUAGCUUUACAGAAGAUUGCAAGGAGUGCAUGAGGCUGGGCGGGUUAGGAUAUUACGAUCUGAAAUGGGUAAUUGUUUGGUAUGGACUUUCUAUGCCUCCUUCAUACACACACCGGGGCAUAGCUGUGCAUGGGCUCCAGGAAACUCAGAGAGGCUCCUUUCUAGCACUGCUGUUGGGAAGAAGCUGCAGGGGGCUUAGGGGUAAUUUCCUGGGAGCUAGAUUCUGCCCCAAGUGACUAGCACGAGAUCCGUUGUCCACUGCAAGUGAACUCAGUGCUGGUGGUCAAUGGAGGAUGUCUAUGGCUUUGUCUCCUAGUGACACAAAGAGGAAACGGGUCCUUUUUCAGCAUCACUUCGGACACAGUGUAAUAAAAGAUGCUUCAAUGGUUCUUGGCAUUCUGCCCCACCUGUCCCCAUGUUCACGCCACACAGAGACACACACAUGGUGCAAAUGUACAUACAAGUUAGAGGUGGUCAAAACACCUGAUUGCAUCAAAAAAGUUUUUUUGUUUUUUUUCUUCCCCCAAAAAUCAAUUUUGAUCAAAAAUGUAAUUGAAAAAUUGAAAUUCAGAACAUUUGGACCAACUUUAACAAUCUAGUCAGCCCUGAAAACAACACAGGUGCACACACACGCAUCAGGUGGGGAAGCAGCUAGUUCAGGGGAAAUCUAGGCAGUGGACAGCAGCAGAAAAUGGAGAUACACAACUAUCUCGGAAUGGUUCCAGACCCACCCUCCCCUUUUCCUGCAGAGAAUCAGGUUUUGUACAGAUUCCACACCCCAGACUAAGGGCCGGCUCCCUCUUCCAGGGCACAGGAUGGUUCCUUUUAUUGCUGUCUGUGAUAGUGUGAAUCACCGCAGCACGUACCAUGCAGGUGUUAGUAGGCGUAGCCCUGCAGGAAGGCAUGAGCAUGAGCACAGGUUCUGGAUCAUGGCACAAGUAGCCGGGGGACCCAGGCCAAUGAGGGGCUGGCUUGUUGACUGAGGAGCUGCUGGUGUCUGGGAAUCAUCUCUUUUGAUUAAGCAGUGUCAGCAAAGUGACUCCUGCGGCACGCAGGGAGCCAGGCUUUUGCUCUUCCUGAACGGAAGACCCAAUGCCCUGCCCUUCACCCCCAUCAGGCCUGUCCCCCACCCCGGGGCGUGCUAUGCAGCCGGACAGCAGGGAGCGCACAGCAUUGCGGCACGCCCAGCACUCCAUGGCUCAGAGCUACGGCCCCAAUUAGCUCGUGUUCCGCCUUCGUCUUCUCUCUCCUUCGGAAUGUAAAGCUGGCUCCUUCCUAAGCCAUGAAUGGAAGCCAGUCCAGCCAGCGCCGAGUGACCCAGUGAGCCCUGCUCUGACACCGCACAUGCCGCUGGCAGACGCCAUUUCUAAUGAAGAGGAUUUGAUCAAAUGAGACAGCGAGCGACUCUGGAGAAAGCUGGGGGCUUGGCUUCUGCAUGCCCGAGCCCUGGAGAUGCCCAAGCCAAAGGGGCUCCUUUGGAGGGGACUUGCAUGCAGACAUGGACGGCGCCACUAGCCACCCCUUUCCUAGUCCAGUAGUGUCUUUGCUGUCAUGUUUUCUCCUAGCUUAGGGUGGGGGUGGCCCCAGAGGACUGCAGUCUAUCUAUCUCUGUAUCCCCAGGGACACAGCCAGUGUGGGACCUUUCUGUAGCCAGGAGAGGCUCUGCAGCUUCCUCUGAAAGCACCUUGCCCGGAAGAGGGGCCUAUAGCCCCUGUGCCAGCCCAGCCCAGGGACGGGGAGCCUCUGGCACCAUCUCCUCUGAGCCCCCGUUUCCCACAGGGCAGCAGAGCAUCGCAGGCAAGACUCUCCUGCUGGGGUGCUUAUUAGUGCGGGGCUUCCCUUCGGUGCCACCUGGACCCCAGGAACUGGGGAGUUGGGUGGCCGUGGAAGGUGCCGCAUGCUGUUCUCUUUUGCUGUGUUGGUUGCUUUCUUUUGCAGCUGCUAAUGACUGACCUGAGGUCUGUUCACACACAGUCCCCUGCGCGGCCGGAGCAGCAAGACAAGAUGGGGGGUUAUUUUACAGUGUUCUCGUAGCCAGUGGCACCAGAGACACCAGAUGUCUGCCUGAGGGAUGCGCCAUCUCGCUCCCCUGUGGGAUUCCUGAGCCCUGGCGACCCGACGGCAGCGCUAUGGCGGUGCCCUGGCAAGGAAGGGGCAGCAGUGAGUCACAGCACCUCAGACUGGCACCACGGGGAGCGGGUUUCGGUUCUUUGCCACAAAUCCCCAGGAGCCAGUGUGGCUCCAGAGAGGAUCACGCUGACUCGCUGGCCUGUGAGUGUGGCCAUGAGGCUGCCUGCUCGGAGCUGCGGGAGCAGCACGCACAGGACACUGCCGAAGGUAUUGCUUAGUGACGACAUCCGGAAGAUUUGAGACUGUAGCAAACGCCACGUGUCAGCCUGUGCGUGUCGACUGCCCGACAGAUUGCGGCCCGGCCCGUGCCCCCCUUUCACAGGGGUAGACGGCUUGCAGUGGGAGAGGGCUGCGAGACGGAGUGUGGCUAAGGCUAGCUCUGGGUCAGCGGGGCUUUCUUGCCAGGGUCACUUCUCCGAGCCAGUGCAAAUCCCGAUGCCUCGGCCCUUUCACAGAGUUAGUUCCCUCGGGAGGAGAACAAGAGCUAAGGGCUGGGGAACGUUCUAGAUGCUUACGAAUGGGGGUGACGCCAAAGCAGUUCAUGCUUGUCUGAAACCUCCCCCGGAAAGAGAACUGAUUCCUUAGGGCUCCCCCACCCCGCCCUUGGGGCAGUGGGCCAGGAGGGCGGGGCUGGGUUUGUAGUGUCCAUCUGCAGAUUAUCCUCAGGGCUAAGAGGACAGACUGCCACUGGGCUCAGCGCUGGUGCAGGCUACUGCAUUCGCGCGAUCUGCAUGAAUGAUGAUGCUUAGCCUUUCUGGCUCGCCGGGGUGCUCCCCUCCCCCUGAGUGAUAUACCGGGGUGCUAGGAGCUGAGGGAUCACCUGGCCGUGGUGGUAGCUCUGGAAAUACUGAAUGGGAAAUGGUGGCGGUGGGAGGAGCUUAAGGAACAAGUUCAUCCCACUGGCCUUUCGUCUCCGGCUCAUGCCAUGAUUUCUCUGCUCCGGUGAAUGUUCCUUUUGUGAAUGGUGCUGAGCCCAGUAGCAAUGGAGCUGGGGUGGGGGCCAGCGAGCCUGCUCUGAGUUCCUUGAGCCCCCGGAGAGGCUUGUGUGGUGUGAUCUCCUCGUGUCAGGGCGAGAGCUCGGGGCUCAGAGGGACCCAGGCUGCUCAUUGUCUCUAUCACCUGCAGGCGACGUUCUGGGGCUUUUCUCUGCCAUACCUGUCCUGCGCAGCUGGUGUCAGGCUGUAAUAAGGGGAGAGUGCCUCAAGGAGAUUGGCUUGCCCCGAGGCCUGUGUGCUGGGCUGUGUGUUUAAAAACCUGUCAGCCUCCAGGAGCAACGUGGAGCACGCGGGCGGGAAUGCCACCUCUCAGAACUCCCCUGAGCCACCGUCCUCCAUCACCAUGCUAAGCAAGCGCCGCGUUCCCCUGGUAAACGUAACAACUCCAGCACUUUCCUGCUGCUGGGAGGUGGGUGGGAGCGUGCCCCAGGGAGGUCAGGGAGCAGCUUCUGCAGGCAGGGUGCUGUGGUGGGACUUGCAGGUCGGAUUCUUUUAGGAAAAUUAGCUGCAGGUGUGUUCCCGUUCAGUGAGGGACUCUCCGAGAAGCCAGCAUGGAGGGCCUCGCACCAGGGAGCUUGCAUUGGGCGAGUCUAGCUAUUUCCCAUGUGUGUCAGCACAGUGUAUGAACACUGCAGCGUCUGUAGAGCGGGGGGAUGGAAUCUCCUGGCUGUAUCUACCUACUCCUGACGAGAGAGGAGCCGAGGGAGCCAGGUGGGGGCAUAGAGUGCCCCGUUUGGUUCCAGGGGGUUAUUUCCUUGUUUCCUUUCCCCCUCACUUCCCAUCCCUGAGACAUUCCCUAGUGCAUGUGACAGAUGGAGCCUGCCUUAGCUAGGAACCUUCUGCUUCUCCUGCUUCACAGCUGCAGUUAGUCUCUUCUGGUUGUUCACUGUGGUUCUGUGCUGCUCCAUGGGCAUGCUGGGGAGAGCCCCCAAGCCAAGCAUCCUCAAUACGCCCAGCCUGCCGGGUUCAUGGUCAGGCCGUGGGGGAGAGCCAGAAGACAGAUCUUCACUGUUCUUUGGAAUUCCAUUUGUUUCCCUACUGGGCCCCUGCUCGCAAGACAGCAGCUACUCAGAGCGGGACAGAAAUAGCUUUGUCUCUCCAACAGCUGAUGCGCUGCCAGCUCAUGGCCUUUGCCCCAGCCAUCAGCUUAGUGCAAUUGCACAGCGUUCUCCUAACCCUGUUACCCAUUUCCUUCCUCUGCUUCUUCUGGCACACUCCUGCCCAGUAGAUCGGACGCAUUUAGCUCUGAUGGGCUGGCAGCUCCUUGGCUCGGUCACUACGGGCCCGUCUCCACCGCCUGUGGCAGCGAUCAACAGGCUCGGGCUGGUGGAGCUGGGGCUGCCGUGUGGCUCGGCCUGGGGCUCGGGCUCUGAAGGCCAGGAAGCGGGGCGGGCUUUGGAACCCGAGCUCCAGCCUGGGACGCCACACCAAAGCCCUGGCUGGGCAGCGUGAGCCCUGCAAACCCGGGCUGGAGGCUCGCUGCUGCGGGCAGUGCAGACAGACCCCAAGAGCCUGACUCUCACCUGCCCUGGAGCUGUGGGCAGGAUUCCCUGCUAGCUGGUGUGAGUGAGGGGAGCGCGCUGGCUUGGUAGCUGUGGAGAUGCUUCUGCACAGGGGUGCAUGGCAGCAGGAGGGGCCGAGCGCUCUCCUAGGCCAGGACGGUGCUAGGGGCUGCAUUUGCAAAGUGCUUUAUUCUCCAGUUCGGUUACUUAGGGUCACACAGGCCAGUUCUAGCCUCAGAAUAAUGAGCCACCAACAUUCCAAAUCCCGGCCCGAUAGCCCAAAGGCGUCUCCUGCCGCUAGAUACCAGGAGCUGCUCCUGGCCUAUGACAGCAGCAUGGGCUAAACUCCAAGGAGGUGCAUCCCCCACCAGCAAGUGGGACUAACUGGUGCGUUGUGCAUGUAUAUUACCGUGCUAAGUUCUUAACGUACUAACCCAGGAAGAUCUCCCUGCCCUCACAGACUCUGCCCCCCAGCCAGGCCUGCUAAUGCCGCUGGAAUAUGGAGUAAGUUACUUGCGAACGAACUAACCCACUAACUGGCUGUAAUGCAUGCACUACUAACCCGGCUUGUUUCACCUCCUACUAACCGGGGACAGCAACAUUGCCUUUAAAGGGGAACGGAAAAGCUUGCGUAAGUAUGUCUGCAAAGAAGCCAGUCAAGUUGCCGCCCCAGGAACAGAAUCUACGUGCAGUGUCAAACAUUACAAACACAGCGAGGGAAUCGGUGGGGGGCUGCUCCUCCAUGUACCUGACAGGGCCUGAGUGCACGAUUCUGUCUUUCCCCAGCAACAUGGUGUAGCGCUCCAGGAACACCAGAGAGCCAGACUCUCUGCUCUGCUGUCGGUGUUGGAACUCCCACAACAGCCGCAGAGGAAAGACAGACACUGCUUCGCCUGUCUUGGCAGGUCACUAGAGGAAGGACUGAUUUUCCCGGGGUGUUUCUGUCUGUAACGCUGAAGUCUGCAUGUGGAUUCUGCUGCUGACUAGGGAUCCUAGACUGGGUUUAUUGACAAAAGCUUUUCAGUUCCUUUUUAAGUCACUAGAUCUCUCUCUCCUGUGACUAACAAAUUUCCAAACUGAAUUAAACAAACUAACCUUUGCUGCUUUUCUCUCCAUUUCUCUUUCCUAGUUCUGUUCCUGAACUAAGAUGCCCUCUCUGGUUAUGACAUGUGGCUCUUUAUUAACUGCUUGUACUAAUCUCUUCUUAGUUGGUUCUAUAUGCUACUAACACACACUCUUUGGCUCCUUAACUUUCUGCUGCUCUUCACCAUGACAAAUGAAUGAAGAGGUGUUCCCCCACCCCUCCGACAGACCCCUGUCCAUGCGACCCUGCUACGUUAUGCGGCUGUCCUUCUUUUCAGAGCAGCUGAACAUCUUGAACUCCCAUUAAGUGCAAUGAGAAAGGAAGUUGCUCAGGAGUUUUGAAAAUUAGGCCACUGGUUUUCAAUCAACUUUAUGAGGCCAAGAGAAAACAAUGCUAUUCACAGGCUUUAUAAAACGGUUUGGAGUGGCAUGUUUCACAUACUGGCCAGUCACUUCGUAAUUUGUAUUUGCCAGAAGGUCCAGUGAAGCUAAUUUGCAGAGAGACCCUGUUAAAAAGCAAUUAAGAAACUGCAGUCCCCACCCGUACCCCAAACUCUUGAAUUGCUUGGAACGCUGCCUGGUUCAUCUGUCAUUGGGAAUGGCCUCCACAUCAGCCUUAGUGCCUCUGUUACUCCUGAGCUUUGGGACGGACAUGGGGCGCUCUCAGCUUGUGCCGGGCCAGGACUCAGUUUCUUUGGAUCUCCACUGGUUUCCUUUUGGCACUGAUGCAUGUGGAAAGCAGUUGCCAACCUCGAGCGCCUAACUGCCAGGAGCCGAGGGGCUGAACCUCUCUGGUCGAUUGGCACUUGUUGUACUUACUCCUGGUCCCUAACCGAGAGCAUGGGAGGUGACGGGCAGGGAGAGGAACAGGCCAUGUUGUCUAGAGGGAAAUCUGCCGUCGAGGCAUUUAACGUAUUUCAUGAUGCACUAACAUUGGGCCUAGUUGUGAGGUCUCGUUCAGCUUUCACUCCACCUGCAUGGGCUGCAUUCCCUUUGCCUUCUCUGGGAGUUUGCCAAAGUACAGGCUACAGGGUUUGGCCCAUCCACUGUGCCUUUGGCAUGCAAACCAGGAAUAUCCGCUAGCUCACCAGCAUCCCCUCGGGGGGCCUGCAGUGAUUAACAGGACUAACCUAACCCCUGCAUGGAGGGAGAGCAAUGCUGGUUGCUGUCCUUUUAACUGCACUUAAAUACUGAAGGCAAAGGCCCGAUUCCUAAAUCAGUCAGUGAUAAUAGCUGGAGUGGGAACUUGACGCCCUUAACCACCCCAAAGGCUAUGCAUGAAGCCUGCAGCACAGGGUACCUGGCCAGGCAGUGGGUCCCUCCUGCACUGCUCCGGGGGGAGGAAGGUGCCAAACCAACAAAACGUGGCUGCUAACGGGCUGAGGAGACGUGGGUAGCAGGAGCGGCAGGGGGCUGUGAACCAGAACAUCGCUGCUCAGAGCUGGGGCGGGGGUGAUAAUGUAACGUGUGUGUGUGGCUGGCAUCAUCGUGAGAUGUUCCACGGAAAGUCGUGCAUGGGCGGGGGAGCAAAGGGAGGUGCCCCGGUGAGGUUCAGCUGGGGAGAUCGCAGUGGCUCCAGGGCAGUGUGGAGAGCUCCCCCAACUAGGGAGCAGAGCCAGUGGGCAGAGGUCAGAGAGCUCAGGGGGAAGAUGGCAGGAGUGAGAGGAGGGCGCAGUGAGAACAGGGAGGGGGCGCAGGCAGAGAGGAGAGCAGCGCCAGUCCAGGGGCAGAGCGGGACCAGAUGCAGCGUGGUACUGGCUUACCAAGCACCCGUCCCCAUUCCCCCGCUGUUAGCUCCGCUGACAGGGCGGGGUGAGUUUGUCCCUUCUGUGCAUCUCAGCGUGGCCGAGGGCUACACACGAGAUCCUCUCCUGGAACUGCCUCCACUCGGGAGCAGCCUGGCUUUGACACUCAGGCAAGCAGAACUCACGGGAGGAGAGUGUCCGCCCGGACAGACAGACAGACAGACAGGUGCACUCUGCAGCCAGGAGCAUCGCUUGCUCUCCAGGUGUGGGUGCUCUCCAAGAGCAACUCUGCCCAAGUGCUUUAUGGAUCUGGCCUGUAAGUGAUUGGAGCCUCUCUUGCUCGUGAGACGCUCCGGGGCUCACUCCCCUUUUGCUGCUGUCUAACUGCUAACAGCUGUUCUGCUUUGCCUUGAGACGUGUAGCUGGAGAAGGACCCACAGCGUGACUCGGUCUUUAUGCCAGUUUAUUGCCUGUUUCUGUAGCAGACCCCCCCACACCUUUAACCCCUAUGUGUUUCUGUACUAACCACCGUGACCUGUUCCUUUCAGGCUGAUAUUAACGACUUGCUGGGGAUCUCGCCACUAACCUAACUGCCUCCUCUCGAUUAUCUCUCCGGGUCCAUGUGUGGCAGUGAUGUGGCUGGUGUAUUUUUACCUAACAUACUAACUAGUCAGGAGGCUGCCUGACCCUGACUGCUCCCUGCUUUAUUAACAUACUAAAACCUCUCUCAGGGCUGGGCUCAGAAUGGGUUUGGGGGUCCGUUGUUCCAUGUGCUUCCUUGGAGAGUGGGGCUGUGAUGCACCCCCAAAUCGAGGUGCGAGCACGACUUGCCCUUUCAGGGUACGGCAAGGGGUAGAGUAUCUGGCUGCCUUGGAUCAGCAUGAACAGUGAUGCAGGUUUGCCCAGCUGGGAUGGGGCCCUCCAGGAGAAGAAGGGCAUGCAGGCUCAGCCUGGGCACAGCGAGGCUGGCUCAGAUCACGGGGAACCAGGGCUAGGUUAAAUCGGGGUGAUCUGGCACAAGGCCUGGCAGAGAAAGCGAAACCUUCCUAUUUUGCAGGUGAGCGAGAAUCUGCCCAGAAUAAUGUAGCAACUGGGGAACCAGCAUUUCAGCCUCGGUGGUGUUCAAAGCGUGCCCGUGCCCCAGCCCGGGAGCUGCGGCCGAGACACUGUCUGGAAGGGCUGGCAGAGCCUGGGCUUGACCGCUGGCCAGCCCCUCACUGUUGUGUUAAGGUGUCUAUCACGGCUUUCAGUGACCUGAGACUCCCCCGCUGCUCAUGACCUAACCAGUCCGCCAGGCAGCAGGUGCUAAAAGGCUGGAUUUGCUCAUCCCAGGAGAUGAGUGCAACACGUGAGCCCCAAAGGCCAAACCUAUGUCUGUGCCAACCUCUGCGGGACUCGGCAUUUGGAAGCUUCCCUGACUUUCUCUGGGUCCCCUGCUCUUCUGGUCUGUUGGUUUGCACAGGCUGGAACCCUGGGGCCUGAGGGGUAGGAGCCGCUGGGAAGACUGCAGUCUCCACAGGAGAAGUAUGCUCCCGUCUGCACGGCGAGGUCCUCGGCUGCCAAGGGCAGCGAUGCAGGGCGGGGACAGGGAGCACAUGGAGAGGUUCUUACAGAAUGGGCGGCUUUGCUUGGCUGGCUCUGUUGCUCUGCUCCUUGUCACUGCGCAUGUUCCCUGCUUGGCGCCCGGGUGCCCUUUGGGUUCAGGUGGCUUCCCAUCUCUGGCUGGGCAGGGGCAGAGAUUUGCCCCCCGCCUGUGCAAGAGCAGUGACUCCAGGGAUCCAGCGUGGCAAGGGAACAUGGGGGUCACCAGCAGCCGCCCGCUCCAGACCCAGCUCCUGUCCUGCGUUGUGCUGCUUCUCGGCCCCCAGGCAGGCAGCGAUCCCCCCCUGAGCGGGUCACAAGGCUGGGCUCCCCAUUUCCCUCCAGGGGCUGUGGGGCUCUAUGCCUGCUGGGCUCGACGUGGAUUUCCAGGGAGACCGGAGAGCUGGGGGAUGUUGCACGGCAGCGUCACGUUGGGGACAAGGGCGUGACCGGCCUCUGGCACGAUGCUGGGCAGCACGUGGAGGGAGCCGAGGGGAGAGCUGGGGCUGGCGUAUGAGGAGAAGUGAAAACCUGCAGCUAAGGGGGGAUGGCAGGAGCCCCCAGGAGUUGGCCCUGUGAGCGGGGAGGGAGGGAGGGGAUGAAUGAGGGGGCCCAGGGGAGCAUGUAGGAACCUGGAGAUGAGGGACAGGAGAGCUGGGGCAGGCAGCAGCGCCGCCCGGGGCAGACCUUCCUCAGGACAGUGGCUAGCUGGCCUAAUAGCACUUCCAGCUCUAACAUCGGGGAGCAGGGAUCUCCCCGCGUGCCGAGGCUGGCCAGGUUUUAGAUCCAGGGCAGGGUCACCCCAGCAAGCGACGGCAGACCCCCAAGAGUCCCCUCCUCCUGUUCUCUGGGCCUCACCCCGGCGGAUUAGGCACGGCGCUCUCCCUGCGUCGGUGGCCAGCGCUGGGCUCAGCGGGACAGCUGCCGCGCACACCUCACUGCUGCCGGGGGCACUUGGGCCAGGUAACGCUGGCUGAUGAGGGAGGCAGGAACCAGCCUAGAAGGGCCAUUUGUCUGCUUGUCUGCGGCAAGUCCUGUGUUCCUGGGUACAGGAGAGUCAGAGCAGGUGACAGCCCCCAGGACUGCUCCUCUCCCCUGCCCCACAGUCGCUGUGGGCAGGCCCAGAGGGGCAGUCUGAGAGCCAGAGGCCCCAGGGAUGGGGGGACGGAUGGUGACGAGACACUGUCUGGAAGGGCUGGCCCGGCAGCCCCCGUUUCCAGGGGUGAGCAGUGUCUGAUGUUCCCUGCGGGGAGCGAGACCGGGAGACGACAGAGGGAGCUUGCAGACGAGUCUCAGGCUGCUCGUGCCCCAGCUUGUCACUUUCAGGUUUCACAAACCCUGCUGCCAGCACCCCCAGGGGCUGCCCCACAGUCUCCAGGGGCCGCGGGGAGGGGGGGGGGAAUCCCUGCCAUCCCACAGCCUUGCUGCUCUCAGGUUUCAGCUCCUGGGUAGAAUGGGGCCCUCUAGGGAGGGAUGCUCCUAGUCCCUCUAGAGCCAGAGAGCUCUGGCCAUGGCCAGGUGAAUAGGCGUGUGAGGGGAGACAGACAGACAGAUGGACAGACCAGUGAGACAGCAGUCUAAAUCUUGGGGAGGAUGCUGCAGGCCCAGCACUGCCUCGACUGGGCAGCCUGGAGACGGCUCCCUUCCUUGCAGCUGCACUAAGCCCAGGGCCCAGAGCCGCUCACUGCUCCUCGCAGAAAGGGGAGACGGAAGGGGCCAGUUUGGUCACGUCUCCCUCUGUCCUGAUUGUUCCCUAUUGCGCAUUACAGCCUGCUGCUGGCUUUUCAGUGGUCCCGGCGAUGGCACACCCAGCCCUUGCCUUGGGAGACGGUUCCGUAGCCUCUCAGACCAGGCCAUUGGGCCAUUUCUCCAGGCUCUGUGUGUGUCUCUCUGAUGGUGCCGAGUGUGUGUGUGUGGUGUGUGUGUCUCUGAUGGCUCUGUGUGCAUGUGCGUGUCUGUGUGUGCAAUGGCUCUGUGUGUGUAUCUCUGAUAGCUCUGUGUGUGUGUGUGUGUGUGUAAUGGCUCUGUGUGUGUGCAUGUGUGCAUGUUCCUGUGUGUGCAGCGGUUCUGUGUGUGUGUGUGUAUCUCUGAUGGCUGUGUGUGCGUGUGUGCAAUGCCUCUGUGUGCACGUGCAUGUCUGUGUGUGCAAUGGCUCUGUGCUUGUAUCUGUGAUAGUUGUGCAUGUGUGUGUCUCUGUGCCUGUGUGUGCAAUGGCUCUGUGUGUGUGUGUAUCUCUGAUGGCUGUGUGUGCGUGUGUGUGCAAUGGCUCUGUAUGUGUGUGUAUCUCUAAUGGCUCUGUGUGUGUGUGUGUGUAUCUCUGAUGGCUGUGUGUGCGUGUGUGUGCAAUGGCUCUGUGUGUGUGUGUGUAUCUCUGAUGGCUGUGUGUGCAUGUGUGUGCAAUGGCUCUGUGCGUGUGUGUUGCUCCCACGCCGAUAGUGACUGUUACUCUGGUGUCUGGUUCGUAGGGCCCUGGUGCGGAGGGUGGCCGAGCUAGCUGGACCAUGCUGCCUGCACAGGGCUCCGUUGCAGUCAGCGGGGGCUGCCCAAGAGACAGGUUCCCAUGCAGGCUGCCCCUGGGGAGAGGCGUUAGUGAGGCUCAGGAAGGGGUCGGAGCUAAGCUACCUGCAUGCGAUGGUGGGGCUGGACGGGGGCUGCGUUCCUGCCUUAGGUCUGCUGUAGUUCGAGGCCAGGCUGGUGUCUGACCGGGCGGUGGCGGUUGCUGGACGGGAGCUCCCUGGAGGGGAUGGUUUCCAGAGCACAUGGACUAACGGCCUGGCCAGCACCUUGCAGAGGAACCAGUAACACGAGCACCACGGGCAGCCUGCAGAGCCGCAUGCUCCUCUCACUGCUCAGCGGGGGCAGCUGCCCGGCUUUGCUGGCCCUGGCCGCAGCCUGUCCCCUGUGCUUUUCCUUGCUGGAGCGGACAGGGUGUUGUAGUGGGCAAGAGGCUCUGCAAAAGGGCUGGGGGCGGGAACUCCUUGCCUCUCACCCCCGCUUUGCCGGGUGGCCUUGAGUGAGCUGCACCGUGGGAUGGGAUAAUGAUGCAUGAAUGAGUUCGGGCCGCCUGAGCUCCCCUCUGAUAGCCCCUUACUCCAGGAGGUCAGUGGGACGGAGGCUGGAGGAGGGGGCAGAGGCUGGCUUUCCGAGGGCUGGUUGGUUAUUGUUCACUCCCCCCAUCCCUCCCAGCGGGAUCGGAAACUCAUGCAUCCCAACAGCUGCCCCGCCCCAGGAAGUGACAGGCCUUCCAGCAGGAUGUCCGCAAGGACCCGAAAACUCAUCGGCCCCAGCUGCUAGCUACACAUCCAGGUAUCUGCACUCCUGGCUCACAGGGGUGCCGAGCGCCCGCAGCUCUGGCUGGCUCCCACCGGCGUCAGGGUGCUCAGGCCCCAGCUGGGCCUCAUCCUGCAGCUGCGGCUUGUGCAGUGUCUCCCUCUAGCGGCUGGUGCUCAAGAAGGAUAAAAGCCGCUCACCGCUAAGCUUGUUCCUUCUGCCCAGGCGGUAGUGGCCUGGGAUUUUUGAGCAGGAGGCCUUAGGUCCAGUCACCGCUGCCAGCCCGUGUUGGGGCAGUUGUUACACAGCCAAAGGUCCAAGCCAGGAGCAGCACCAGGGGCUCGUGGCCCCUUGGUUUGUUUCUGCCCGUGUAUUGUACAGUGGCACCUUUAUAGGGCACUGGGCCACUCGGGACAGGCCUUUGCUUUAUGGUCUCAUGACCUAAUCGCUGCGUUUUGCCACAAGCCUCGGACCUUCCAUCCUCUGCCCUAGGUCCUUGUGUCUCUGUGCAGAGCCACCCGUAGGUGGGUGUGGGCCGGUUCUGGCCCUGGUUCUCACUGCGCAUUGGAGGGCUCCUUUCUCUUGCACAGCAGAAACAAAACUCCCAUUGCAGAAGCAUCUCAUAAGCAAGGGGUGCAUUUGACAAGUGGGGAACAACCCAGGGCCUGACCCUCUCCCCUUUACUCUCUGAGUCGGGCUCACUCACGGGGUAGGGUCAGCCAGGAAGCAGAGUGAGGCCCAUUGCAUUCCAAACGGAAGGGCUCUAGGGGAAAAAUUAAGAUGAUAAAAAACCCCAAAGCAAAGAGAAACCUGCUGCUAGCAGAACCAGAUUGUUCUCCUCCUCCGGAUACCCACUCCCCUUCAGGGUCUGCCAUGGGCUGCUGCUCGUGUGGGGAAUGGAGACCGCCCCCGUGGAAAUGACUGCAUUUGCUGACGGCGUGCUCACCUGAACAGUUCAGAUACAAUUGUUCUUAUUCACUGGUCAGGAACCUGUUUCAGAAGAGCUUUUGUACCACACAAAGGUCUACGAGCAGCAGCGAUGCAAAGGGAGUUGUGGGGAAAUGAGAUGCAAAGCUGCCUUAUUUAAAUGCUAGACAAUCCCUAGCACACAUGCCUGCAGAGCUGCGAGGACCAGAGGCUGGACUAGGCUUCCUAGAAGCAAACGUGGGGGAAAGAGUCUGGGGCUGCGGUCCCCGGAGGAAAAGAAUCAAGUGGAUCCCACUGCCACUAAUUUUUCCAAGUAACAGGAAAAAGCCUUUGAUGGGCUGGGUGACCUGGAGCCAGUAGAAUAAUGCCCGACCCAAACCUGGCCUGAACCCAAGGUGAGCUUUAACUGGAACUGGGUAUAAGAAUUUGGUUCCCUAUAUUCUCCCUUCUGCAUCUUCUGUACUCUGGGCAGGACUGGAUCUGAAAUGGCUGGGGCUCUGGAAUGGCAGGCAGGCAGGCUGGCUUCAUAAGAUCGCCAGCUCAGGUCUGCAUGGGGUGUGGACAGCUCAGGUCAGGUCCCCAGAAGCACCCAAGCCCUGGAGUAUUUCUACAGCCUCAGCCCUGGGAGAUUUGCCCCUCGCUGUGCAUCUCACUUUCAUGGAGCGUUCGCUCUGUAUAAUAGUAAUGCGGUGGGUGACGAGCCCUGGCACCCUGCCGCCCAGUCAGUUAGAGCAUCCCCCAGCAGCCCAGCACCAAGGAGAAUUAACAGCCUGGCCAGUUAGCACGGCCCCAAAGGCCAGUGCAUCCAGCCCAAGGCCCUUCCCGCAGCCCUGUCAGACUGAUGCCUGGGGGGGGGGGGGGGCGAGAGGGGUUGGGGAGAGAACAUCACACAGCUGGGACCGGCCUUUGUGCGGCUCUGGAGAAGCAGGCUCUUGGCCCCAUGGGUGUUGCCCGCGGAGAAAACCAGCGCCAGCAGGCAUGCCGUGGAUCUGUGAACAGCCCUGGCUGUGCGUGUGCUUGGGGCUCCCGAUGGACGGUGACCACUGGCUCCAGCCUGUAACGUCUGCUCUAAACAUGUCAACUCUGCAAAUGC